GUCAACGUGAAAAAAUUAGAGUGUUCAAAGCAGGCAGAUCCAAUUCCCUGCCACCGAAUACAUUAGCAUGGAAGGUAAUGGAAUAGGACCCUGUCCUCCUAGUUCCCAGUUGGUUUGCCGCGAGGACCAGGGUAAUGAUUAAUAGGGAUAGUUGGGCAUUCGAAUAUGGAUGUCAGAGGUGAAAUUCUUGGUUAUGAAAGAUUAACUUCUGCGAAAGCAUCUGCCAAGGAUGUGGUCAUGAUAAUCAAGAACGAAAGUUAGGGGAUCGAAGACGAUCAGAUACCGUCGUAGUCUUAACCAUAAACGAUGCCGACCAGCGAUUAGGAGACGUUGAAUACAAAACACCACCAUGCAUCGGUCGUCUGGUGUCGCUCACAAGGCGGCAUCGCGACGGCUUAGCUCGCAUGGCACCGGUGACUGACUCCCUAGC
rnacentral:rRNA from 1 species